GGGUUGCUGUGUAGCUGAUUAUAAUGUUAAGGAGAGCACAUUAUAACUUCAGGUGAGGAAUGAACAGCAGGAGCAGACAAAUUAAUGAGAAACAGUCUUGGAGGAAAGCACAUAACACACCUGGGAAUCCCCUCACCAAGGAGUGUUGACAUAACUGAAUCUAUGUUACGCACUGUACUACUGCUGCUGGUAAGGCUGCUCUUUUUCCACAGCUGAGGACAGAGAGUGGAGCUGUCUGCCUUUUGGACAAGUUUCAGACCUGUGGACUAAAAAGAGGGUCUUCCUGUCUCUCAUUAGGAUUCUGAGCCACAGCUGUAGCCCGAGGAGAACAAAGAUGCAAGAUGAAGGGGACAAUGAAAGGAAAGCAGGUUUAUUAUUUUGCUGAAGGAAAAGAGGAUAAUGACAUACCCAGAAGCCACAGAGGUCCAGGGACUUUUUAUGAAAGAAAGGAAGAAAUGAUGGCCUGGAAGUGUUCCAAUACCUGUCAUUAAAUCCUUGGUGGCAAAAUAAAAGAUGGAGGACAAAUAAACACAACAAAAUCAUCAAA